GAGUUUGAUCGUGGCUCAGAAUCAACGCUGGCGGCGUGCCUAACACAUGCAAGUCGAACGCGAAAACCCCGCAAGGGGUGAGUAGAGUGGCAAACGGGUGAGUAACGCGUGGGUGACCUGCCUUCGAGCGGGGGAUAACGUUCCGAAAGGGACGCUAAUACCGCAUAACAUCCUGCCUCUGAAGAGGUGGCGAUCAAAGCUGGGGAUUCGCAAGAACCCGGCACUUGAAGAGGGGCCCGCGUCUGAUUAGCUAGUUGGUGAGGUAACGGCUCACCAAGGCAACGAUCAGUAUCCGGCCUGAGAGGGCGGACGGACACACUGGGACUGAGACACGGCCCAGACUCCUACGGGAGGCAGCAGUGGGGAAUUGUUCGCAAUGGGCGCAAGCCUGACGACGCAACGCCGCGUGGAGGAUGAAGAUUUUCGGAUCGUAAACUCCUGUCGAAUGGGACGAAAAGGUCACGGUUUAAUAUCCCGUGAUCCUGACGGUACCGUUAAAGGAAACCCCGGCUAACUCCGUGCCAGCAGCCGCUGUAAU
rnacentral:rRNA from 1 species